UACGUAGGGUGCGAGCGUUAAUCGGAAUUACUGGGCGUAAAGCGCGCGUAGGCGGCUUGGUCAGUCGGGUGUGAAAUCCCUGGGCUCAACCUGGGAACUGCAUUCGAUACUGCCUGGCUAGAGUAUGGGAGAGGGAAGUGGAAUUCCGAGUGUAGGGGUGAAAUCCGUAGAUAUUCGGAGGAACACCAGUGGCGAAGGCGGCUUCCUGGACCAAUACUGACGCUGAGACGCGAAAGCGUGGGGAGCAAACAGG
rnacentral:rRNA from 1 species